rnacentral:tRNA from 1 species
AGCGGGGUAGGGCAGCGUGGAGUGCCCGCCGGGCUCAUAACCCGGAGGUCGGAGGUUCAAGUCCUCCCCCCGCUA